rnacentral:rRNA from 1 species
AGUCGAACGAGAGAUGAAGAGCUUGCUCUUCAAAUCGAGUGGCGAACGGGUGAGUAACGCGUGAGGAACCUGCCUCAAAGAGGGGGACAACAGUUGGAAACGACUGCUAAUACCGCAUAAGCCCACGGCUCGGCAUCGAGCAGGGGGAAAAGGAGCAAUCCGCUUUGAGAUGGCCUCGCGUCCGAUUAGCUAGUUGGUGAGGUAACGGCCCACCAAGGCGACGAUCGGUAGCCGGACUGAGAGGUUGAGCGGCCACAUUGGGACUGAGACACGGCCCAGACUCCUACGGGAGGCAGCAGUGGGGAAUAUUGCACAAUGGGGGAAACCCUGAUGCAGCGACGCCGCGUGGAGGAAGAAGGUCUUCGGAUUGUAAACUCCUGUUGUUGAGGAAGAUAAUGACGGUACUCAACAAGGAAGUGACGGCUAACUACGUGCCAGCAGCCGCGGUAAAACGUAGGUCACAAGCGUUGUCCGGAAUUACUGGGUGUAAAGGGAGCGCAGGCGGGAGAACAAGUUGGAAGUGAAAUCCAUGGGCUCAACCCAUGAACUGCUUUCAAGACUGUUUUUCUUGAGUAGUGCAGAGGUAGGCGGAAUUCCCGGUGUAGCGGUGGAAUGCGUAGAUAUCGGGAGGAACACCAGUGGCGAAGGCGGCCUACUGGGCACCAACUGACGCUGAGGCUCGAAAGUGUGGGUAGCAAACAGGAUUAGAUACCCUGGUAGUCCACACCGUAAACGAUGAUUACUAGGUGUUGGAGGAUUGACCCCUUCAGUGCCGCAGUUAACACAAUAAGUAAUCCACCUGGGGAGUACGACCGCA